rnacentral:rRNA from 1 species
AGCGAACGUUAGCGGCGGGCCUAACACAUGCAAGUCGAACGAGAAUGAGGGGCGAACUCCUCUAGUAAAGUAGGCGGACGGGUGCGUAACACGUAGGUAAUCUACCUUCCGGCGGGGACGAACAGUCCGAAGGAUUGCUAAUACCGCAUACGUCGGCGAGAUCUCCGGAUCUUGUCGGGAAAGAUGGCCUCUCCUUGGAAGCUGUCUCCGGAAGAUGAACCUGCGGCCCAUCAGCUUGUUGG